rnacentral:rRNA from 1 species
ACUUGGAUAACUGUGGUAAUUCUAGAGCUAAUACACGCAAUCAAGCUCUGAACCCUCGGGUGACGAGUGCAUUUAUUAGAACAAAACCAAUCGGGCYUYGGCCUGCCAAUUGGUGAAUCUGAAUAACUCAGCAGAUCGCACGGUCUUGUACCGGCGAYGCAUCUUUCAAGUGUCUGCCUUAUCAACUGUUGAUGGUAGUUUAUGCGACUACCAUGGUUGUAACGGGUAACGGAGAAUAAGGGUUCGACUCCGGAGAGGGAGCCUGAGAAACGGCUACCACAUCCAAGGAAGGCAGCAGGCGCGUAAAUUACCCACUCUCGGCACGAGGAGGUAGUGACGAAAAAUAACGAGACGGUUCUCAUUGAGGCCCGUUAUCGGAAUGAGUACAAUCCAAACCCUUUAACGAGGAUCUAUCAGAGGGCAAGUCUGGUGCCAGCAGCCGCGGUAAUUCCAGCUCUGAAGGUGUAUACCACCGUUGUUGCGGUUAAAACGCUCGUAGUUGGAUCUACGUUCGUGGAGCYGGUGUUCUCGUUAGAGUUCUACUGGCUACCUGAACUGAUAUCGCUGGUUUUCCCUUUGUGUUCUUUAUUGGAUGCACUGGGUGGCUAGCAAGUUUACUUUGAAAAAAUUAGAGUGCUCAAAACAGGCGCUUGCCUGAAUAGUGGUGCAUGGAAUAAUGGAAUAGGAUCUUGGUCCUAUUUUGUUGGUUUUCGGGAGCCAAGAUAAUGAUUAAGAGGGACAGACGGGGGCAUUCGUAUUGCAGCGUUAGAGG